UCCCUGGUGGUCCAGUAGGUAAGACUCUGCACUUCCACUGUAGGGGGCACAGGUUCGAUCCCUGUUGGGGGAA